CGGGAUGUAGCUCAGUUUGGUAGAGCGCUGCGUUCGGGACGCAGAGGUCGUGGGUUCGAAUCCCGCCAUCCCGACCA
rnacentral:tRNA from 1 species